CUUCAUCAGGCUUCAGAAUCAGUUUCACUAGAUGUGCUAUGUAGGAGGCCACGGAAAAAUUACCGUAGUAGUAAAAGUUAUCAGUUCUGAUGUAAACAAUCAUUUUGUCCCAUAUUAUAAAUAAAUUGGCCUGAAAAUAUCCUUUCAUAUGUGAGGAAUAAGUAUAUGAUGCCUUUCUCCUUUAAAGUAUGAACUGCUAAAAGACAGGGAUAACGUGUAUUCUGUAUUCCAGCAGCCACAGUGUGUUUCUGGUCUUUGUACCAGGUGCUCAGGAAGUGUUUUCACUGGCUUGGGUUGACUACUUGCCAUCUGCUCUCUGAGCAUUCAUUUCUGAAUGAAAGGGGAGAAAGUGAAAGGAGAGGUGGGAAGAAAGAGGAAGCUGCAGAAAUAAGAGGAAACAGCUGGAGGAGGGAGGUGAAGUUGAGGAGGUAAGGUCAGUAAAACAAAAAGCUAGCAGAGGGCAGGGUCAGGCCCUUGGGGUAGAGGGCUAAUUAACUUAUGUCAGCUAGUUGAAUAGAGCCUUGUGUGCUUUGUUAGAGACCAAAGGUACUUCAAAGGAAAAAAAUCUAGAUUCUUCCCUGUGUACCUUAAUAAUUGUUCAUCAGGUCAAAAUCUAUCCUGUCCUCUAGGAAUUCUGGUCUUCCCUCAGGCCUAGCAGAGAGCUUUCUGCCACUACUCAGGCAACCAAGGGUGAAGUGCUUCAAGUAGUAUUUGUGGACAGCAGCAGGUAAGCUUGAUGUGUUAUUCACAGCUUAAAGAGUAGAUGCUGAGUACAGCUGUUGUCCAUGUGUAGAGCUUUUAAUAACCAGCUCAGCAGGCCCCUUCACCUGCUUUUAUGCCUGGACCAGAUGACUGAAUGUAGAACUUUAGGCACUUUUUUUUUUUUUGAGACGGAGUCUCGGUUUGUCGCCCAGGCUGGAGUGCAGUGGUGCAAUCUCGGCUCACUGCAAGCUCUGUCUCCCGGGUUCACGCCAUUCUCUUGCCUCAGCCUCCCAAGUAGCUGGGACUACAGACUCCCACCACCAUGCCCGGCUAAUUUUUAUAUUUUUUAGUAGAGACAGGGUUUCACCGUGUUAGCCAGGAUGGUCUCAAUCUCCUGACCUGGUGAUCCACCUGUCUUGGCCUCCCAAAGUGCUGGGAUUACAGGUGUGAGCCACCAGAUCCGGCCCUUUAGGCACUUUCUACUUCUCAAGGUCAAGAAACAUCCUUUAAAAAGUUAAUUCCCUUUUCUGGAGCCUAAGCCAGAUCUUAUCUAGGCCUUGUGUUGCCAUCUGUUAGCAUUGAUUUCUGGAAUGGAGCAGCUUUCUCAAAGUUUGGUCUUGCUAGUCAUGAGGUCAUGUCAGUGUCUUAGGUCACUGCUGCUCACCUUCCUUACCCAGGGAGUAUACUGCAUAGGUUUCUGAACACCUGUUUUCAUUAUUCACUGUUCCUCUCACUGCCAAGAAUGGAGGGACCCUCAGUUGAAGAUCAAAUUGACUCUGAAGAAAAACUGGAGAUGUUUCUCUUGGAGUUUGGAUAGAGUAUUCACUUGAUAACAUGUUUUUCCCCUGCCUUGCUCUUCACAAGAACAUCUGGCCAGGUGACCAUUGUGAGGUAGAUAUUUUGUUCUAAUUUUCCAGAUGAGGAAGCUGAGACCCUAAAAGGCUGACCGGUUCCCUGAUGUGUUACCUGCUUCUGCUACUGAUCCAAACUGCAGAACUUCUCAUUCAUCCCCAAGGCCUCCAGGCAGUAUCCAAUGGGGAAUCAGCUCUAAAAGGAACCAGACCAACGUUUUCCAGCCCCUUCAUUCUGGUGACUGAGGGGAGGAAAGAAUGGGAGGGGGUAUUCUUGUCUAGUGGAUGGAAAGGAAACACACUGUCAAAUUACUGUAUCUCCUUGGUUUUCUAUUACAGUAGAAUUCUCCAGCCAUAUUUUUAUUGUCUAUGGGGGAAGUUGGAGAUGGUGACCUUGAUUAGAAGUGUCUGGAGGGGGAUAAAUGGAGGGGAUAAGAUUCAGUUGGUUUUGGAAAAUGUUAAAGUCUUAAAAUAAUGCGUCCAUCUGAAGAAUUUUUUCUAAAACCAGAGUUUAUAAAAAUAUCACUGAUACAGCCUGCCCCCUCAUUUCCCUGCCACAGGAGAUGUCUUGGACUAGAGACACUUGUUUAAUAAUAGCUUGUCUCUGAUAUUCCCAGUAGCUUCCCUCUGUGUGAGGAAAGGAUAGAAAUGUUCAGGACAUCAUCAUACAGGCUCCUCAUCUACAAAGUUCCAGUAGCAGUGACGCCUACACGGAAGACUUGGAACUGCAAACAGGCUGGGGUCACCUCAGUGACAUCUGACGCUGUCCAACCAGAAGUUCGAUUUUUGUUCUGGGGGUGAAGGAGGAAACAGACUGUACUAAAGGAC
rnacentral:lncRNA from 1 species